AUUGAACGCUGGCGGCAUGCCUUACACAUGCAAGUCGAACGGCAGCGCGGGAGCAAUCCUGGCGGCGAGUGGCGAACGGGUGAGUAAUAUAUCGGAACGUGCCCAGUAGUGGGGGAUAGCCCGGCGAAAGCCGGAUUAAUACCGCAUACGACCUGAGGGUGAAAGCGGGGGAUCGCAAGACCUCGCGCUACUGGAGCGGCCGAUAUCAGAUUAGCUAGUUGGUGGGGUAAAGGCCUACCAAGGCAACGAUCUGUAGUUGGUCUGAGAGGACGACCAGCCACACUGGGACUGAGACACGGCCCAGACUCCUACGGGAGGCAGCAGUGGGGAAUUUUGGACAAUGGGCGCAAGCCUGAUCCAGCAAUGCCGCGUGCAGGGAGAAGGCCUUCGGGUUGUAAACUGCUUUUGUCAGGGAAGAAAUCUUCUGGGCUAAUACCCCGGGAGGAUGACGGUACCUGAAGAAUAAGCACCGGCUAACUACGUGCCAGCAGCCGCGGUAAUACGUAGGGUGCGAGCGUUAAUCGGAAUUACUGGGCGUAAAGCGUGCGCAGGCGGCUUUGCAAGACAGAGGUGAAAUCCCCGGGCUCAACCUGGGAACUGCCUUUGUGACUGCAAGGCUAGAGUACGGCAGAGGGGGAUGGAAUUCCGCGUGUAGCAGUGAAAUGCGUAGAUAUGCGGAGGAACACCGAUGGCGAAGGCAAUCCCCUGGGCCUGUACUGACGCUCAUGCACGAAAGCGUGGGGAGCAAACAGG
rnacentral:rRNA from 1 species